rnacentral:lncRNA from 1 species
GGUUUUUCUCCCUGGUGGAGAACGAACAAGAGGAAAUGGAAACACAUACCAUAGAAACGAUGCCUCUUCUACAAGAAGGAAGAAGCCUCAAUAAGGGAUAUCAUCGCAUGAUGACUCACUGCAGGGAUUACUGAUUUAUCUCAGCUGUUUUGAAGACUUCGGUUAUUCUCAAAUAUUCCAUAUAACUCAUAAUACAUAUCUCCAUCACUUAGUAUUGCUUGCCACAUAGUAAGUGCUCACUAAAUACCUGCUAAUUAUGGCUAAAGAGCCAUGCAUGGCCUAGUACCAAAUUAUGUUUUUAGCUUAAUUUUUAGCAUUUCUCCUUUUUCCCGAUAGCUAAGAACUUGAUACGUCAGCCAAGGCUCAAUAAAUUUGUGAUG